rnacentral:lncRNA from 1 species
AGAAAGAUGACUACGGAGCAGCGAUUCUAAUAGGAAGCUGAGCACUAAUGAUUGAAAGGAAAUACAUACAUCAAGAGGGCACCUUUAGGGCUGGCGUACCUGGCUGUGUCUCCCGAAGAAGUUCAUGUGGCAGCUGCCUCCUCCAUUAAAUCUCCAGAGGACCCCAAAGUUACUCUAGCACUUGCUUCUGAUUUCCUCCCCUGGCUUGCCGUUAAGCAGGGACAGUCUGCUGCUGGAGGAGCUGCUGCCGGAGCUGCCGAGAGCUCACGCGGGAAAAUCCUUCCCUUCCCCAGCAAGGAUUUCCUUCUGUCUCCAUCCCCUCUGAAAGGAAGACAUUUCAGACCUGGAUUAUUAGUACAUCUACCUUCCUAAGCAACGUUUUUUCUGAAGAACAGCCCAUCUUAUUCACAAAGACAGAAAAAUCCGG